GACCGCGUAGCUCAGUUGGCAGAGUAUUGGGCUAGUAUUCCAAAGGUCGUGGGUUCGAUUCCCACCGUGGCCG
rnacentral:tRNA from 1 species